CUUUUACUGCGGAAAAAAGGUCAGGUAAACUUCAAACAUGGCGGCGGCCUGUGGAUUAUCAAAUUAAACCGUCCACUGGCUGGCGCCAUUCUUGGUAUUUGCCUGACCCCGUUACGUAGUGAAAGGGGCAGGAACUCCAGACAAAAGAGGUCGACUUGCAUCGUACUUCAAACCAUACUCUG